ensembl:lncRNA
AAAGAUUAUCUUCUAAAGUGGUAUCCGGCCUCUGUAGUAACUGUGGGCUAGGGUUGUAUAUGCCUUGUACAGAGGCAGUGUGUCUGUAGGAUGCCCUUGGGGCUGAAGAGUUUCCAUUCCAUCCCAGAUCCCAGCCUGCAGAAUAAAGAUAACUAAACUCUGACAGGUUGGGAUAUGGAAUGGAGUGGACGUAAAUGGGAUAUGUAGUGCAAAUAAAGUGUGUAUGCAGAUAACGACAUUUUACUCUUCCUUUUCGAUCUAGAUGCCUCCCCCCCUCCCCUUUUCUUGCUUUCUUGCUCUGGCUAGAAGGCUAGAAUCUACAGUAAAAAUUGAAUAGAAGUAACAUAAGAGAGGAUAUCCUUGCCUUGUUCUUAAUCUUAGAGAAAAAACACUCAUUGUUGCACUGUUAUGUAUGAAAUUAUCUCUAAAUUUUUUGUACAUGCCCUCCAUCAGAUUGAAGAAUUCCCUUUUUAUUCCUAGCUUUCUGAGAGUUUCAAAUAAAAAAUGGAUAUAAUGUUAAAAAUACAAUUUUCUUAUUAUCCUUGUAGUAUCUGUAGAAUGUAUAUUUAUCUCACCUCCCCAUACCUAACAUAGAUAAGUUGUGUCUUUUUUCCCUCAUCACUUUAAAUAGAGGCUUAUCAAUUUUACUGGUCUUCUCAAAGAACGUGCUUUUGCUUUCAUUUACUUUUUAUAUUGUUUUUCUUUUUAUAUUUCACUUAUUUCUAUUUUCAUCUAUAGUAUUUCCUGUAUUUAGCUUACUUUGAGUUGAAUUUGCUCUUCUUUCUGUAGGUUCUUAAAACAUGAACUGGGUUGAUGUGUGGAGAAGAACUGGGAGGUUAGGGAGAGUUCCUGCCCAAAGGGUAAGAGGAGACUUUAGAGAAAGCUCUUGCAGAGGCAGAAAAUAAAGACAAAGAGCAGAAAAGACAUCCCCGGGAAUUUGUGGUUGCAGACUGGCUUUCAUAUGGAUCUGCAUCUUGGGUUCACACAAUCCACACCUGCCAGGGGACAUUGAGCAAUGAACUUGACUUGAGGUUGUCACCAACUGCAAACAGUAGAGAUGUCUGGCAGAAGCAAAGGUAAGGACUUUCUGAAAGAGGAUAUACUCAACGUUAGGCCUCAGGGAUCACUCGCAAAUAAUGUUUUUUUCAAGAGCAAUGACUAGCACACAGGUAAAUUUAGCAGGUAUGCAAGGAGACAUGGCUACACGGCUGCUAAGCAACUGAAACAACAGACAUAGGAAAAAGACUCUUACUGACUUCAGGCAUUGGAAUUUUAGAGGCAGACUGAAAAAAAAUACACUUACUGGGUUUAAAUAAUUCAUUGGGUUUGGAAAUAUCUGCAAAGAACAGGCCACUAGAAAAACCACAGAGUAAAUUUGGAAAAAGUAUAGAUAUGGUAAACAAAUAACUAAAAUGGAAACUUAGGAUAUGGCACAGAUUGGACAUUAGAGAAUAGAGAAUUAGUAAAUUAGAAGACAGAAAGAAGAAAUUAUCUGGAUUAUGGCACAAAGAGACAAAACAUUGAAAAAUAUAGGAAACAGUAAGAAUAUGGAAAAUACUUUAAGAAUUACUAAUAAAUAAAGUACAGAACAUGUACAGAAGGACUAAUGCAUGUUUGAUUAGUGAAAAAAUAAGGAAAAGGCAAAUUUUCAAGAGAUAACCAAAAACUUUCCAGAGCUGUUGGUACCCAACCAUUCAUAAGCCUAUGUGAGCAAGAUAAAUGUUUAAAAAUCUACAUUUAGACAUCAUACAUGUAGAGAAAUACAAAAUCCAGGAGAAAGGUUUUGAAAGAAUCCAGAGAAAAGACAUCUUACUUUCAAAGCAAUGACAAUUAGAAUGAUGGCUGACCCAAUGAAAACAACAGUGGAAGGUAGAAACCAGUGGAA